GCUGGGUGUGGUGGUGCUCACCUGUAAUCCCAGUGGCUAGGGAGGCUAAGGCAGGAGGAUCAUGAGUUCAAAACCAGUCUCACCUACUUAACAAGGUCCUGAUCAAAUUAGUGAGGCCCUGAGCAACUUGGUGAAACCCUGUCUCAA
rnacentral:sRNA from 1 species